ensembl:snRNA U6 U6 spliceosomal RNA
GUGCCCCUUCGGCAGCACAUGUACUAAAACAGGAACCAUACAAAGAUUAGCAAGGCCCCUGCACAAGGAUGACACCAAUUUGUGAAACAUUCCAUUAAAAA